UUGGGGAUAUAGCUCAGUUGGUAGAGUGCUUGCCUUGCCCUUGCAUGCACAAGGCCCUGGGUUCAAUCCCAGCACCAAA
rnacentral:tRNA from 1 species